rnacentral:rRNA from 1 species
UGGGGAAUAUUGGACAAUGGGCGCAAGCCUGAUCCAGCCAUGCCGCGUGAGUGAUGAAGGCCCUAGGGUUGUAAAGCUCUUUCACCGGUGAAGAUAAUGACGGUAACCGGAGAAGAAGCCCCGGCUAACUUCGUGCCAGCAGCCGCGGUAAUACGAAGGGGGCUAGCGUUGUUCGGAUUUACUGGGCGUAAAGCGCACGUAGGCGGACUAUUAAGUCAGGGGUGAAAUCCCGGGGCUCAACCCCGGAACUGCCUUUGAUACUGGUAGUCUUGAGUUCGAGAGAGGUGGGUGGAAUUCCGAGUGUAGAGGUGAAAUUCGUAGAUAUUCGGAGGAACACCAGUGGCGAAGGCGGCUCACUGGCUCGAUGCUGACGCUGAGGUGCGAAAGCGUGGGGAGCAAACAGG